AUUUUCUUCUUGUUCUGUAGAGAGAACACGUGCUGUUAGAACAAUGAGUUCGGCGUCAUGUGGUCGGUUUAUGAUCAUAUGCUUACCAAAUGGGUAACCACAAACGUAUCCGACUUUGAAACACCUUAACAGUCAGACACUGAUGAUGCACUUACCAAAUGGAUGACAACACUCAUGCAUCCAACUUUGCAAGACCUUAACGGUCAGACACCGGACACAUCAGAUUCAAGAUGCACCGAGAGAUUGAAUGAACCCAUGAGGGCCACAUGUAAAGGUGUUUGAGGAAUUUUGUUCCUCCAGAAGCACCCAGUGCAACAUCCAGAUCGAGAAGCAAGUGAAGAAGCCAAAAAUGGCAGUUUGGAGUGUUUGAUGCUCUUUGAUUAAAACGAUGUCAAAUAAACUUCUGAUCAAACAAA